rnacentral:sRNA from 1 species
CACCAGGUAAUUAUCAGAACUGAUUUGC